UGUGGAUUGUCCUUUGGACAAUGGUAGGAGAGCGUUCUAAGGGCGUUGAAGCAUGAUCGUAAGGACAUGUGGAGCGCUUAGAAGUGAGAAUGCCGGUGUGAGUAGCGAAAGACGGGUGAGAAUCCCGUCCACCGAUUGACUAAGGUUUCCAGAGGAAGGCUCGUCCGCUCUGGGUUAGUCGGGUCCUAAGCUGAGGCCGACAGGCGUAGGCGAUGGAUAACAGGUUGAUAUUCCUGUACCACCUAUAAUCGUUUUAAUCGAUGGGGGGACGCAGUAGGAUAGGCGAAGCGUGCGAUUGGAUUGCACGUCUAAGCAGUAAGGCUGAGUAUUAGGCAAAUCCGGUACUCAUUAAGGCUGAGCUGUGAUGGGGAGAAGACAUUGUGUCUUCGAGUCGUUGAUUUCACACUGCCGAGAAAAGCCUCUAGAUAGAAAAUAGGUGCCCGUACCGCAAACCGACACAGGUAGUCAAGAUGAGAAUUCUAAGGUGAGCGAGCGAACUCUCGUUAAGGAACUCGGCAAAAUGACCCCGUAACUUCGGGAGAAGGGGUGCUCUUUAGGGUUAACGCCCAGAAGAGCCGCAGUGAAUAGGCCCAAGCGACUGUUUAUCAAAAACACAGGUCUCUGCUAAACCGUAAGGUGAUGUAUAGGGGCUGACGCCUGCCCGGUGCUGGAAGGUUAAGAGGAGUGGUUAGCUUCUGCGAAGCUACGAAUCGAAGCCCCAGUAAACGGCGGCCGUAACUAUAACGGUCCUAAGGUAGCGAAAUUCCUUGUCGGGUAAGUUCCGACCCGCACGAAAGGCGUAACGAUUUGGGCACUGUCUCAACGAGAGACUCGGUGAAAUCAUAGUACCUGUGAAGAUGCAGGUUACCCGCGACAGGACGGAAAGACCCCGUGGAGCUUUACUGUAGCCUGAUAUUGAAAUUCGGCACAGCUUGUACAGGAUAGGUAGGAGCCUUUGAAACGUGAGCGCUAGCUUACGUGGAGGCGCUGGUGGGAUACUACCCUAGCUGUGUUGGCUUUCUAACCCGCACCACUUAUCGUGGUGGGAGACAGUGUCAGGCGGGCAGUUUGACUGGGGCGGUCGCCUCCUAAAAGGUAACGGAGGCGCUCAAAGGUUCCCUCAGAAUGGUUGGAAAUCAUUCAUAGAGUGUAAAGGCAUAAGGGAGCUUGACUGCGAGACCUACAAGUCGAGCAGGGUCGAAAGACGGACUUAGUGAUCCGGUGGUUCCGCAUGGAAGGGCCAUCGCUCAACGGAUAAAAGCUACCCCGGGGAUAACAGGCUUAUCUCCCCCAAGAGUUCACAUCGACGGGGAGGUUUGGCACCUCGAUGUCGGCUCAUCGCAUCCUGGGGCUGUAGUCGGUCCCAAGGGUUGGGCUGUUCGCCCAUUAAAGCGGUACGCGAGCUGGGUUCAGAACGUCGUGAGACAGUUCGGUCCCUAUCCGUCGUGGGCGUAGGAAAUUUGAGAGGAGCUGUCCUUAGUACGAGAGGACCGGGAUGGACAUACCUCUGGUGUACCAGUUGUCGUGCCAACGGCAUA
rnacentral:rRNA from 1 species